rnacentral:rRNA from 1 species
AACGUAGGGGGCAAGCGUUGCCCGGAUUCACUGGGCGUAAAGCGGGUGUAGGCGGUCCUCUAAGUCAGAUGUGAAAUCCUACGGCUCAACCGUGGAACUGCAUCUGAUACUGGAGGACUUGAGGACGGUAGAGGUCGGUGGAAUUCCCGGUGUACCGGUGAAAUGGGCAGAUAUCGGGAGGAACACCAGUGGCGAAGGCGGUUACCUGGAGCUUUGCUGACGCUGAUGCGCGAAAGCGUGGGGAGCGAUCCGGA